rnacentral:piRNA from 1 species
UAAUUGGUACAGAUUCUUAUU